rnacentral:rRNA from 1 species
CCUACGGGAGGCAGCAGUGGGGAAUUUUGGACAAUGGGCGAAAGCCUGAUCCAGCCAUGCCGCGUGCAGGAUGAAGGCCUUCGGGUUGUAAACUGCUUUUGUACGGAACGAAAAGACUCUGGUUAAUACCUGGGGUCCAUGACGGUACCGUAAGAAUAAGCACCGGCUAACUACGUGCCAGCAGCCGCGGUAAUACGUAGGGUGCAAGCGUUAAUCGGAAUUACUGGGCGUAAAGCGUGCGCAGGCGGUUAUAUAAGACAGAUGUGAAAUCCCCGGGCUCAACCUGGGAACCGCAUUUGUGACUGUAUAGCUAGAGUACGGUAGAGGGGGAUGGAAUUCCGCGUGUAGCAGUGAAAUGCGUAGAUAUGCGGAGGAACACCGAUGGCGAAGGCAAUCCCCUGGACCUGUACUGACGCUCAUGCACGAAAGCGUGGGGAGCAAACAGGAUUAGAUACCCUGGUAGUCCACGCCCUAAACGAUGUCAACUGGUUGUUGGGUCUUCACUGACUCAGUAACGAAGCUAACGCGUGAAGUUGACCGCUGGGGAGUACGGCCGCGAAGGUUGAAACUUCAAAUUGAAUUGACGGCUUGAGACGNGCGAGCGACGACGAGGAGAGG